rnacentral:rRNA from 1 species
UACAGAGGGUGCAAGCGUUGUUCGGAAUUAUUGGGCGUAAAGGGCGCGUAGGCGGUGCGGUAAGUCUGCGGUGAAAUCUCCCGGCUCAACUGGGAGUCUGCCGUGGAAACUGCCGUGCUUGAGUGUGGGAGAGGUGAGUGGAAUUCCUAGUGUAGAGGUGAAAUUCGUAGAUAUUAGGAAGAACACCAGUGGCGAAGGCGGCUCACUGGUCCGGUACUGACGCUGAGGUGCGAAAGCGUGGGGAGCAAACAGG